rnacentral:rRNA from 1 species
UACGUAGGGUGCGAGCGUUGUCCGGAAUUACUGGGCGUAAAGCGCGUGUAGGCGGCUAAGUAAGUCGGGCGUGAAAUCCCACGGCUCAACCGUGGAAGUGCACUCGAAACUGCAUAGCUAGAGUCCUGGAGAGGAAGGUGGAAUGCUUGGUGUAGAGGUGAAAUUCGUAGAUAUCAAGCGGAACACCGGUGGCGAAGGCGGCCUUCUGGACAGUGACUGACGCUGAGACGCGAAAGCGUGGGGAGCAAACAGGG